rnacentral:rRNA from 1 species
CUGGGUGGAUCAGUGGCGAACGGGUGAGUAACACGUGAGCAACCUGCCCCUGACUCUGGGAUAAGCGCUGGAAACGGCGUCUAAUACUGGAUACGAGUAGCGACCGCAUGGUCAGUUACUGGAAAGAUUUAUUGGUUGGGGAUGGGCUCGCGGCCUAUCAGCUUGUUGGUGAGGUAAUGGCUCACCAAGGCGUCGACGGGUAGCCGGCCUGAGAGGGUGACCGGCCACACUGGGACUGAGACACGGCCCAGACUCCUACGGGAGGCAGCAGUGGGGAAUAUUGCACAAUGGGCGCAAGCCUGAUGCAGCAACGCCGCGUGAGGGAUGACGGCCUUCGGGUUGUAAACCUCUUUUAGCAGGGAAGAAGCGAAAGUGACGGUACCUGCAGAAAAAGCGCCGGCUAACUACGUGCCAGCAGCCGCGGUAAUACGUAGGGCGCAAGCGUUAUCCGGAAUUAUUGGGCGUAAAGAGCUCGUAGGCGGUUUGUCGCGUCUGCUGUGAAAUCCGGAGGCUCAACCUCCGGCCUGCAGUGGGUACGGGCAGACUAGAGUGCGGUAGGGGAGAUUGGAAUUCCUGGUGUAGCGGUGGAAUGCGCAGAUAUCAGGAGGAACACCGAUGGCGAAGGCAGAUCUCUGGGCCGUAACUGACGCUGAGGAGCGAAAGGGUGGGGAGCAAACAGGCUUAGAUACCCUGGUAGUCCACCCCGUAAACGUUGGGAACUAGUUGUGGGGUCCAUUCCACGGAUUCCGU